UAGAAUAAAAUUCUCUCACCUAUUUUUGUGUCUUGGAUUGAUUGAUUGAUCGAAUGCAAGAAAAGCCAUGAAAAUUUUCUUUCCAUAUUCACAUUUCCUUUGUCAAUAUUUGUUUAGGCCAGGAGAAUGAUGAUUAACCAUGUGGCAUUUCAACAUUAUUAUCCAAGUCUAACCACCUGAAGAUAUGAAAGAGUCCAGAUCAUGCUUGGCAGGUUUUAAGG
rnacentral:lncRNA from 1 species